rnacentral:rRNA from 1 species
GACGGAAGGUGCAAGCGUUGCUCGGAAUCACUGGGCGUAAAGGGUGCGUAGGCGGCUUGGUGGGUCUGGUGUGAAAGCCCCGGGCUCAGCCCGGGAAGGGCACUAGAAACUGCCGAGCUGGAGUGCCGGAGGGGAGAGUGGAAUUCCUGGUGUAGCGGUGAAAUGCGUAGAUAUCUGGAGGAACACCGGUGGCGAAGGCGGCAUCCUGGACCAACACUGACGCUGAGUGAGCGAAAGCCAGGGGGAGCAAACGGG